ensembl:lncRNA
UCCACCCCAACCCCGAGUCCGAUUCCGCCCCCAGGCCCCCCUGGGGCUCUCCCUCUCACCCGAUGGGAAAACACCCUCGCUCCGGCCACCGACACUGCCUGCCCACGCAGGGAGAGACACACGCGGCCCAGAGUGCUCUGCAGGAGCCUCAGCUCAGGACCGCUGACGUGCCCCUGGGGGCAAGGUCUCCGCCCCGAGAGCGGCUCCGCGGGCCCUGGACCCGGGGCGCCCAUGGGCACACCUGCACUCCACCCCUGCUAUCCCCAGCACGCUCUCAGGACCCCGGGCAAAACACAGACCCUUCUGCUGGACCCUCCGGGACCCCAAGGGCCCUGGAGCCUGGGCGAGACCCCGCAGGGCCGCACCUCGCCCUGACCGCCAAUGGCCAGGGGCGUCCCCUGCCGCCAGGCUGUGGGCUCGGGUCGCUCGCCCUUCACCCUCCAGGCCCGCCACACCAGGCCCCCUGGCGCGCGGGACCUGGGUCCCUCAGGCAGGUCUCCCGGGGCACUCUGGGGACACCGGAGGCCUGCCUGCCCCAAACCCCGCCCCACGGCUGCCGCCUGUCCACCGGACACAACGCAACCCGCACAGACCGCCUGCCGCCGGGCGCCCGGAGCCUGCCACCAGUUGGGCGCUCGGCCCACGCAAGGCACACGCCACAGCCCCGCCGCCAGCACCGGAAGGCCCGCCGGGCCCCAUGGGACCCUCUCCUUUGCGUGCACACCCAUGCACACCCAGGCCUCCCUAACUCCAGCACCAGCAUCUCCACGGGAGACGCACUAGACCCUGGGACCCUCUCCUUUGCGUGCCACACCCAUGCACACCCAGGCCUCCCUAACUCCAGCACCAGCAUCUCCACGGGAGACGCACUAGACCCUGGGCCCAGCGGGACCCUCGCACCGAAACUCACGCCCUCACCCCUCCGCCGCACCUGCCCCCUUUCCUCCACAGCAGACUCCCUCCUUGCCACCAGCUCCCGCCCGGCACCAGCUCGGCUGGGCUCCAGUCCGCAGGCGUGGCUAGCUCUGCUGGGUAUCAACCUCACACUGCCUCCCACUGCGCAACUCCCUGUCCUCCCUCCCCGGGAACACGGCCUCAGCCAGGGCAGGGGCGCCGCACGGCCUCAAUGCCCAGCCCCGUGUGUGGACACCUUAGCGGCCCCGGGAGCUGGCCGCGGGCUCACACUUCUCUGCCCCGCCGGCACCCAUGACCGGCCAGGGCACAGGCACCCAGCUCCCAUUCACGUGCCCGGGACCCCUCCGUCCUGCCUUCCACGCGCCGCCCAAAUCUCUGAGGAUAUCCCACAUCAUAGCCCAGGCGCCCUGAAGGCACUGCCGCCCCGUGCACCCAACACUCCCCCUCACGGUGCUCUGCGCACACUGGCCCAGGACCUCUGGCCCUCCUGCACUUCUCUCGACCCCAGUCCGCGGCCGACUCGGCACCGCCCAGGACCACCUGGCACCCACCGCCUCCACGUCUCUGGGAAAUGCCGCAGGGGCUCCAGGGUUCUCGAUGACCACCAAGGACUCUGCGAGGGAAAGGCACUGGCAGCCCGCCGACCCCGUGAAGGCCCAGGCCAAGGCGUCCGACCCCGCCCAAACGGCCAUCUCGGCAAGGCCCCCCGGCCGCCUCCUCUCUCCCCACCAGAACCUGGGUCGGCAGUCCCGCCGAGGCCAAGGCCCCCGCUGCUCACCCGCAACCUACAGACACCCUCUGCGCCCGACACCGCGGGCAGGACCCCGCGGAGGCCUCAAGGAGGCAGCCGCAGGCCUGAGAGCC